GGGGUGCUCGAGUGGCGAACGGGUGAGUAACACGUGAGUAACCUGCCCUUGACUUUGGGAUAACUUCAGGAAACUGGGGCUAAUACCGGAUAGGAGCCAUCUUUAGUGUGGUGGUUGGAAAGUUUUUUCGGUGUAGGAUGAGCUCGCGGCCUAUCAGCUUGUUGGUGGGGUAAUGGCCUACCAAGGCGGCGACGGGUAGCCGGCCUGAGAGGGUGUACGGCCACAUUGGGACUGAGAUACGGCCCAG
rnacentral:rRNA from 1 species